GUAAAGUUUUAUUCUUGCUUGUAGAUUUAUUGUUUGAAUAUUUUACAUGUAAAUUUUUGUGGGUAAUUAAUAAAUCUAGAUGAUAAGUUGUUAUUCGCAGUAUUUGGCUUUAAUUAAUCAAGGGAACUUGGAAUUAGUAAUUUGAUGUAUGAUCGGCUAAAGUCGUGCCAGCUGCCGCGGUUAUACGUAGGAUAGAAAUAAAUUAUAUUAGUUGAAAGUUAGAGGAAAAAUUAAGAGGAUAAUUAAUUUUAUAGGUAAAAUUUGUUAAAUUAACUGUUUCUUAAGGUGGAAAAUUGAAGCUUUGAAAAUUGAAGUUGAAACUAGGAUUAGAUACCCUAUUAUUUUAAUCGUGAAGAGGAAGACUUGAGUAGUAUUAGUUAAGCACUUGAAACUCAAAGAAUUUGGCGGUGUCUUAGUCUUUUCAGAGGAAUCUGUCCUAUAAUCGAUAUUACACGUUAAAUGUUGCUUAAUUUGGUGUAAUCAAUUUGUAUACCGCCGUCAUAAGAUCAUCUUUGUAGAGAAAGAAUUUUCUUAGUAUUAUAAGAUAAUAUGUCAGGUCAAGGUGCAGUUUAUAAUUAAGAGGGAGAUGGAUUACAAUAAAUUUAUUUAAAUGGAUUUGUUAUUGAAAGGUAAGGAUGAAGGUGGAUUUGAAGGUAAUUUUGUUAGAUUAUGAUAGAAUGAUUGAAGCUCUAGGACAUGCACACAUCGCCCGUCGCUCUCGUUAAUAAGAUGAGAUAAGUCGUAACAUAGUAGUUGUACUGGAAAGUGUGGCUAGGAAGUC
rnacentral:ncRNA from 1 species